rnacentral:rRNA from 1 species
UAGUCAUAUGCUUGUCUUAAAGACUAAGCCAUGCAUGUCUAAGUAUAAGUAUUAUACAGCGAAACUGCGAAUGGCUCAUUAAAACAGUUAUAGUUUAUUCGAUUAUUUUCUCCUACAUGGAUAACCGUAGUAAUUCUAGAGCUAAUACAUGCUGUCAAACCUGACUUUUGUGGAAGGGUUGUAUUUAUUAGAUAAAAAACCAAUGCCCUUCGGGGCUCCUUGGUGAUUCAUAAUAACUUCACGAAUCGCAUGGCCUUGCGCCGGCGAUGGCUCAUUCAAAUUUCUGCCCUAUCAACUUUCGAUGGUAGGAUAGUGGCCUACCAUGGUGGCAACGGGUAACGGGGAAUUAGGGUUCGAUUCCGGAGAGGGAGCCUGAGAAACGGCUACCACAUCCAAGGAAGGCAGCAGGCGCGCAAAUUACCCAAUCCCGAUACGGGGAGGUAGUGACGAUAAAUACUGAUACAGGGCUCUUUUGGGUCUUGUAAUUGGAAUGAGAACAAUCUAAAUCCCUUAACGAGGAUCCAUU